rnacentral:lncRNA from 1 species
CUUAUAUAACAUUUAUCUUUAUCUUGAUUUAUAGUGGAAUAGGAAUCAAAAUCCUCAGAAAAAUUCAAAUCUAAUACCUCGCAAGACUAGAACGUAUAGACCCUCUACUUCGUGUACAUGCCAAGCUCUGCAGGAAAGAGGGAUGAUCUUCAUGAUGUUAAUCUUUAGAAGGGAAGCAAGGAAGAUUGAGAUCAAAUCUCCACAUGAUGGAUGCCUAGCAUGGAUGCUCUCCACA